GCGGUCGUGGCGGAAUUGGUAGACGCGCUAGCUUGAGGUGCUAGUGGGGCGACCCGUGGAGGUUCGAGUCCUCUCGACCGCACCA
rnacentral:tRNA from 1 species